GAGCCCAUCCAUUUGGAGGCAGCAUUCAAACCUUCUGUGACUUUUUGUUUUUGGACAACUUUUGAGGUCUUUCUUCUGAAACAAAGAAGAAAUAGACAAACCAGAUUUGUCCUCUUGGAAAUGUGGUCCAGAUUUCUCUACUCCCAAUCUCCAAAAAU
rnacentral:lncRNA from 1 species